rnacentral:ncRNA from 1 species
GAGCCGUAUGAUGGGAAACUAUCAAGUACGGUUUUGAAAGGGAGGGAGAGAUGGCGACAUCUCUCUCGACCCCUAC